UUAAUUUUUGUUAAUUAUCCGGCUUCAUGAGACGAGACUUAGCUUUUGUUUAAAUCCGAUAAUCUGGAUUAACAAUAGAAAUUCCCUGAUUAUUAUCUCAGAAUAAUAGUUCAUGCAUACGAGAUUCAUGCAUAGUUAAAUUUCGCAUUCUCAUUUAAUUGAGAAUUUUCCCUCGAUUUAAAGUCUUACGUUAUUUUCUCGGAUUAAAGGUCGAGCGCAAGAAUAAGAGCUCGUCAAGGAGUCAUUAAUCUGUAGCAAAGCUUUGCUAUCAGGUGGGCAUUACUUUCAUAUAUAUCAAAUGAGUUUAAAUGUUACGUUCAAGCAAGUUAUUUCAUGACUAAAUUAAUUGAAGUUAUUUCAAAUAUUGUCUUGCCAUAAAAUGUUUCAAUUUCAGUAUGAUAUCUAUCUGAUGUUACUUUUAUCAUGUAAUCGAAUUCGGGUCUUGAGCAGUUGAUAGCUAUCCUGCCAGGGCUAGUGUACACCAGUGACCGUGAGUCAUCUAGCGGGUUGGCCGGUCAAGUGACCGUGAGAGGUGGCCACCUCUCCGGCACACAGUUCCAGAUAUGAUAGAUUACAAGAGAACUUAGACUGCAGUCGAACUUUAAGAAUCACAAAUGAAUUUAGUUGAACAGCUGAUGGAAUGGAAUGGUGUUGAGCAGGUGUUCCUUUGAUCAUUUCAAGAAAUGUAACCUUGAGUAUACAUCUUCAUAUGUAUAUCUCACACGUUUUCCGCUGCAAAAUACUUUGAUUAGGAUAGCUCUAUGUUAUGAAGUUGAGAUACGUGUUAUUGGGUAACCCACCUUAAUCAGUUCUCAUUUAUGUAUGUGUUUUAUAAGUAUCCAAAUAAUCAUAUAUGAUCCUAGCAUUUUAUCUAUGAGUGACAUCUCCAUAUACUUUAAUGUUAAGUAAUUGUCCAUUUCCAUUUCUUAUUGUUCACCCUAAGUCAUAACCCCGGUUAACCCGUCAUUGGGAUAGUGGGCUGUGACAGAGUGGUAUCAGAGCGGUUCGUUCGCUCUGGCCCUAGAAACCUUAUUCUAAAGAGUCGAGUCUAGUUUGAUUCUUUAUACUUACAUGGGUUCAUAUGGCACCGCUCAACACUCCAUUGCAUCGUGCUCAAUCAAGGAAAGAAGGUUGAGCAGCUGAUGGAAUGGAAUGGUGUUGAGCAGGUGUUCCUUUGAUCAUUUCAAGAAAUGUAACCUUGAGUAUACAUCUUCAUAUGUAUAUCUCACACGUUUUCAGCUGCAAAAUACUUUGAUUAGGAUAGCUCUAUGUUAUGAAGUUGAGAUACGUGUUAUUGGGUAACCCACCUUAAUCAGUUCUCAUUUAUGUAUGUGUUUUAUAAGUAUCCAAAUAAUCAUAUAUGAUCCUAGCAUUUUAUCUAUGAGUGACAUCUCCAUAUACUUUAAUGUUAAGUAAUUGUCCAUUUCCA